GACGACUCCGCGCGCUUUUGUGCUAAGUGAUGAAUUGUAUCUAAAAUAAGGCAAUAUAAUGUGAAAGAUGAGUAUCCAGUGUUUUAUUUAUGAGAAUAGAUCGACCGGCCUCUAAUAGUUCAGAAGUGAGAUCUGAAACCUAUGAUAGUAACGUGAUUUCAAAGUGUUCCAGGUGACCAAUGUUUCGUGUUAUUUGUCACGAAUAUUAGCACAAAACGCCCACGAUUCUAUGGUUAUAAUUGAAUAUAAUGAAGAGAGAAUGUCAAGGAAACCACGCUGACAAAGGUGUGAGAUGCAGAAAAGUAUUGAAGUACGAGAAAUGAUGGACGCAAAUUAUGAAGAUACCCCUUCCGUAACUUGGCUUGUGGUCACGUAAGUGGUGAACAAUUUGACUAACGAUGGCCCCAGAGCAGAUUUGACUUGAGUUUUAGAUGUGGUGACUUAUCUGUCUGCGGGUUGGCCCUGUGGUGAGCAAAUCAGUCAAGCACAAUACCUGAGUGAAGCUGAACACUGAACAAGGGUACUUCACAUAAGUGAUUUUUAGUUGGACAGAAGGUAAUGCAAUACAAAAGGGCAUCAGCUGUGAUAUUUGGUGAGUGAAAAUGUAAUACAAAAGGAAUCAGCUGUGAUAUUUGGUGAGUUGAAUUAAUGUUUUAUUGCAAGGGUUGGGCUGAGACUAGCAGUGCCACUGCGGCUUGGUUGUUUAACUGUGCUUAUUCUUGUCAUUGGCAUGAAAUUGCAUACAAUUAACUUGAGUGUG